rnacentral:rRNA from 1 species
AGCAGCCGCGGUAAUUCCAGCUCCAAUAGCGUAUAUUAAAGUUGUUGCAGUUAAAAAGCUCGUAGUUGAAUUUCGGGAUCAGUGGGUCGGUCGUGCCACUGGUAUGCACUGGCUCUACUGGUUCCUCCUUCUUGAAGAACUGUAAUGCCAUUAAUUUGGUGUUGCAGGGAAACAGGACUGUUACUUUGAAAAAAUUAGAGUGUUUAAAGCAGGCAAUCGCUUGAAUACAUUAGCAUGGAAUAAUGAAAUAGGACGUUCGAUCCUAUUUUGUUGGUUUCUAGGAUUGACGUAAUGAUUAAUAGGGAUAGUUGGGGGCAUUAGUAUUCAAUUGUCAGAGGUGAAAUUCUUGGAUUUAUUGAAGACUAACUACUGCGAAAGCAUUUGCCAAGGAUGUUUUCAUUAAUCAAGAACGAAAGUUAGGGGAUCGAAGACGAUCAGAUACCGUCGUAG